rnacentral:lncRNA from 1 species
GGUGCUGGCGAGGAGCGCAUGCUCAUGGGGAAUUUAUCUCGUAAUAACUGGUUUUGGGGGCUGCCGGAUAUGCGAUGCAGCCAUGAGCUUCGGUCAUGAUGAGACAAUUGAAAAUGGAUGGUAUUCGGCCACCAAGAUUUUAGCCACAAUGGGCCCAUGGCUUCACCAUUAAUGCUUCACUUCCACGAUGGUUUUCAGCAUAGCUUAGUUCCUUGCUUAGAUGGAGGCACACCCG